UGUAGAAUUGCUGCUGUCGGAUGGACGGCUGUUCUGGACUUCUCCUGAACGUCCAAUUGGCCAGUCUGCCCCUGUUGAAAACAGGUGCUGGGUCAUUUUAACGCUGGGUUAUUUUUUUCUGCCUAACCACUGGGUUGACCUUGUCUCUGGUGAAACUUCUCAACAAUGUUGCUGCUGAGAGCACAGGCCUUUUAAGUCCACAGGAGAGAGCAGUUCUCUGUGUCGCCACCACCGAUUUGAUGCACUUUUUCCGGGAAAUAAAGGCUUUGGAGUCAGUCAUGCCAUCUCUCAGCUACGAGUGAAAUGCAAGGCCGCGGUCUAAAGUUCACAGUUCCCCUCAAACAGCAGCCCUUGACCAGCUCAAAUUUCGGCAACAAACCGGCACAAGAAUUAGCACUAUUUCGGUAAAAAGCGAUUACAGAGAAUGGUUGAAUACACUUAAAUUAAAAGUGCCCUUUUAUUUCUAAAAUGCUUGUUAAAGGAGUUUAAAUGUAUGUAAUAUUGUAACUAUGCUGUAUUCACCCAAAUUAAUUCAAUUUGUCUUGUAUUUUGUCCAUGGGUGUUCUUGCUUAAUAAUAAAUAUUCAUCUUUUGGUUA
ensembl:lncRNA